AGGCAGCAGUGGGGAAUUUUGGACAAUGGGCGAAAGCCUGAUCCAGCAAUGCCGCGUGCAGGAUGAAGGCCUUCGGGUUGUAAACUGCUUUUGUACGGAACGAAACGGCUCACUUUAAUACGGUGGGCUAAUGACGGUACCGUAAGAAUAAGCACCGGCUAACUACGUGCCAGCAGCCGCGGUAAUACGUAGGGUGCGAGCGUUAAUCGGAAUUACUGGGCGUAAAGCGUGCGCAGGCGGUUAUGCAAGACAGAUGUGAAAUCCCCGGGCUCAACCUGGGACCUGCAUUUGUGACUGCAUAGCUAGAGUACGGUAGAGGGGGAUGGAAUUCCGCGUGUAGCAGUGAAAUGCGUAGAUAUGCGGAGGAACACCGAUGGCGAAGGCAAUCCCCUGGACCUGUACUGACGCUCAUGCACGAAAGCGUGGGGAGCAAACAGGAUUAGAUACCCUGGUAG
rnacentral:rRNA from 1 species